GAGCGAGGUAGCAAUACCUAGCGGCAGACGGGUGCGUAACAUGUGGGAAUCUGCCUUUUGGUUCGGAACAACACGGGGAAACCUGUGCUAAUACCGGAUAAGUCUUUACGGAGAAAGCUUUAUGCACCAUUGGAUGAGCCCGCACUUGAUUAGUUUGUUGGUAGGGUAAUGGCUUACCAAGACUAUGAUCAAUAGCUGAUUUGAGAGGAUGAUCAGCCACACUGGGACUGAGAUACGGCCCAGACUCC
rnacentral:rRNA from 1 species